rnacentral:sRNA from 1 species
UUAGGUUUACAUACAAUUUAUGUUAUAAAAUGUCACAUAAUAAAUUAUGAGUCUUAUAAUAAUUUUAUGGAUAUCAUUUUAGAAAAAAUGAAAGCUAAGUCUAUUAAGCAAACAUAUAACUAUAUUUGGUUGUUCCUCAAACUUAUACGUUUUUGUUCACACAACAUAUUAUCUAUUUGUUUACCAGCCAAAAUUUAUUAAAUUUUCAUGAGCCAAAAUUUACUCAUCAGUGUGACUUUGCUGCCAAAUAUUUCAUAAACCACCGUGAAACAAUGAUUUAGAAAAUGUAACUCUCUAGAGAAAAAAUAUAUGUUUUCUUUCUUAGUGAUGAAUUGUGUAACCUCGACUGUCAUUCAGAUAAUUUUCUUGUUUUUUUUGUUUUCUCUAAGUUUCAGUUUCAAGUGUAGUAACUCUCAAACGGGCAUGAAUCAACAAACACUUUAUAUUAUGUCUUCCAUUUAAAGUAGUAUAAUCAUUUGGAUUAUGAAUUGUUUUUCAACAAUUUAUGGAUCAUGACUUUUUUUGUCAAUAAUUUAUGGAUCAUAACUUUGAUGAUAUAUGACUGUUUAUAUGUAUCUAGGUUACAAAAUUAAACAAAUUUACAAUACUUAGUG